rnacentral:rRNA from 1 species
UACGGGGGGGGCAAGCGUUGUUCGGAAUUACUGGGCGUAAAGGGCUUGUAGGCGGCCAACUAAGUCAUACGUGAAAUCCCUCGGCUUAACCGGGGAACUGCGUCUGAUACUGGAUGGCUUGAGAUUGGGAGAGGGAUGCGGAAUUCCAGGUGUAGCGGUGAAAUGCGUAGAUAUCUGGAGGAACACCGGUGGCGAAGGCGGCGUUCUGGACUGUUUCUGACACUGAAAAACGAAAGCCAGGGGAGCAAACGGG